GUCCGGUCUGAGCGCAGUGCUGUUUACAACUGAUUGAUCACAACCAGUUACAGAUUCCUUUGUUCUUUCUACACAGCCACUGCUUCACUUGAGUAGCCUUAA
ensembl:misc_RNA Y_RNA Y RNA